UUAAUUGAUGUAUAAAAUUAAACAUUUUUGCUUUAUGAAUUUAAUUAUUUAGAUUUGAACCUAUUAACAAAAACUGUUCUUCUACUUAUGUAUUUUAGGUUCUUGCUAUCAUCCUGCUUUUGCAUACGUGUUGGUACAAGUGCUUAACAAAUUUUCUCAUUACAGAUGUUUGUACUGUCGAAUUCCAAAAAAGAGGAUUGCCACAUGCUCACAUGUUGAUCUGGUUAAAACAAAAUUAUAAAUGUUAUUCAGCAGUUGAUAUAGAUUCUAUCAUUUAUGCUGAAUUACCGGACAAAACUGUAAAUUAUGAUCUUUAUGAUAUUGUGGCUCAAUUUAUGAUCCAUGGUCCAUGUGGACAAAUAAAUCCUCAUUCUCCAUGUAUGCGAGAAGGAAAAUGUUCUAAAUCUUUUCCCAAACAAUAUAAAAGCGAAACAAUUUUUGAAACAAAUGGUUACCCUGUAUACAAACGCCGUGACGAUCCAACAAAAUUUGUGAUAAAAAAUGGAAUGCAAAUUGAUAAUAGUUUUGUAGUACCUUACAAUUCUAAAUUACUACAGAGAUAUAAUGCUCAUAUAAAUGUUGAAUCCUGUUGUCAAUCAAUGCUUAUAAAAUAUCUUUUCAAAUAUAUAAACAAAGGUUCAGAUAGAGCUAGAGUAGUUUUCCAAGAGAACCAACAAGAUGAAAUACUUGCCUAUCUAAAUUGUAGAUACAUAUCUCCAUAUGAAGCUGUUUGGAGGUUGUUUCAAUAUCCUAUUCAUUUUAGAAAACCCUCAGUUGAACGAUUACCAAUACAUUUACCUUUAGAACAAAAUAUUAUUUUCAAUGGUGAUCAAUCGCUUCAAUCAAUUGUUAACCGAAAAAAUGUUGAAUCUACAAUGUUAACAAGUUGGUUUGAAGCUAAUAAAACUUUUCAUGAAGCACGAACAUUAACGUAUGCAGAAUUUCCUUCAAAAUUUGUGUGGGAUUCUCGCCCUAAAAUGUGGAAACCUAGAAAAAAAAAAAGGAUCCCUUGGUAGAAUAGCUUAUGUACAUCCUGCAUCUGGUGAAUUAUAUUAUUUAAGAAUGCUUUU